GAUGAAGAACGCAGCGAAAUGCGAUAAGUAGUGUGAAUUGCAGAAUUCAGUGAAUCAUCGAAUCUUUGAACGCACAUUGCGCCCUCUGGUAUUCCGGAGGGCAUGCCUGUUCGAGCGUCAUUAAAACUACUCAAGCUAAGGUUUUACCUUCUGCUUGGUCUUGGGUUUGAGGAUUCAAAAUCCUCUCUCCGAAAUCCAGUGGCGAAUUGUUUGAGCUGUAGACGUAGUAAAUCAUUCUACCCGUUGCAAGCGAGAAUAAUAUUCAGCCAUAACCCCCAUACUGUUCUAGUUUGACCUCGGAUCAGGUAGGGAUACCCGCUGAACUUAAGCAUAUCAAUAAGCGGAGGA
rnacentral:misc_RNA from 1 species